AAACAUUUAUGUGUUUACUCUGUUGUUCUAAAUUAUAUUUUAAUUUGCACCAUCUAGUGGUGAGAGCAUGUGGAACAAAGUUCAAUUAAAGUUCCACACGGACUCAUUUAACUACGCACACAGCUAUCAGCGUAUUGCUGCAGCCACGUGAAGAUCUCCGAAAAUUAAAGGAAAGCUGAAGCCAAAUGAGUAAUUAGCCCCUCGUGGAUGUCAGCCCACGAGUUCUCACGGGUUGUGAAGACCAAUAAACCCUGUUUUAAACACCUCGUGCUCAUGCUAAUUCCUCGAGGGUGCUACAGUGAGAACUCUUCUGCUCCGCAUGGGUCAUGGGUAGACGAGACGGUGCCAGCGCCGAGAGGGACAACAGCGCCACCCUGCGACGGCCAAAUGCACAACACCGAACUUCAGGUUCCCAAAGAUGAAUGUUGCAUCAAGGACUCCGAUUAAUAUUAGUUAAUAUGAAAGUAUAACCGUCGAGAAGAGACUGCAAUAAGAAACAGGAUAUUUUUCGUUUCUGUUUAAUCGAAGGGACUGAGAUAAUAUAAUUUUUUUUUCCUGUUCAAGUUUAAGUGAUUUGUUCAAUAGUGAAAUUUAUCUAUGCCAAGUAACCUGUAUAUUGUUCAUAUUGUCAUGGCUACAGAACGACAGAGACCCAGAUGCUGGAACCCGGAAUGAGACAGAGCUCAGGUAACUUGGCAAGAGGAAAGGGGAUUUAAUGAGGUAGCUGGUCAGAGUCCGGGGUUGGCAGCGUGGAUCCGUCUCUUGAGGGUGUUUACUCGGCAGAGGCUCGUGGUGAGGUCAGGGGAAGCAGACCAGAGGCGGUUCCAGAGUGCAACAGGUUCAGGCGACCACUCGUGACUGGGGUUUCCUGCAGACAGGGGCAACGGACUGGCGAAGACAGAUGAUCCUGGAACUCCUUAAGUAGGCGGAUGAGGUGAUGAGUGGUGAGAGCAUGUGGAACAAAGUUCAAUUAAAGUUCCACACGGACUCAUUUAACUACGGGCACAGCUAUCAGCGCAUUGCUGCAGCCACGUGAAGAUCUCCGGUAAGAUCGGUAGAAAUCACAUCGAUGUAUAACAGAAUUAUCAAUGUAAUAAUUUGUUUAUUGUGUUUAUUUAGAAAGUUAAAGGAAAGUUGAAGCCAAAUGAGCAAUUAGCCCCUCGUGGAUGUCAGCCCACGAGGUUUGUGUGCUUUUAUUUGUAUAAUUUAAGAUUCAUAUUUUGUAAGCUGUAGAAUUGUAUUUGAUGCAUAUUUGUGUAUUUAUUUUGCCCGCCAGUUCUCACGGGUUGUGAAGACCAAUAAACCCUGUUUUAAACACCUCGUGCUAUUCAAUAUGUCAGUCAAUUUCAAUAGGUCUGUAAAUUUUAGCCAAAAUCAAAAAACCUGCGUCGUUUUCUAGGACAUAGUAUCUGCAGAGCGGUAGAAUUUUAUGUCGUGGGCGUGACAGUUGGCACGGAGCAAUCUCGCUCCCCCUUCCCCUCCCUGCUGCUGGGAGCUCAGAACAGAGAGCUUGUGGCCUUCUGAGUGUAUUCUCUACAUCACAAAUAAGCUCCUUAUAAAAUGCCAUUUGUUUAAAUAAAAACUCAGACAUGCUGGUUAAUUCUAAAUUGUCUUUGUACAUGUCUUCCAUCGGAAACAAUGGCACAAUAAUAUGUUCAAAACACCUCUUUUGGGGGGAGUGGGUCAUUUAAAAUUAUAAUUUAAAGAGAUGAGACCACAAGUCUAUGCUGGUUAAUGCAGCUGAUGUUCCAACCAAUGGUCACGAUAGUCUUUGGUUUCUCGCCUGCAGAAGCGACGCCUGUAUGUAUUUACUGAUGGUUUUGUGUAGUUUUGGGAUGUUAUGUCAUUUGUCAGUGAUUAAAAACGUAUAAAAAAAA